rnacentral:rRNA from 1 species
GACGAACGCUGGCGGCAUGCCUAAUACAUGCAAGUCGAACGCCAAAUCUUCCUGCUUGCAGGAAGAGGCGGAGUGGCGAACGGGUGAGUAACACGUGAGGAACUUGCCCAUAAGAGGGGGAUAACACCCGGAAACGGGUGCUAAUACCGCAUAGGUUUUCCCAGCGCAUGCUGGAAAAUAAAAGGUGGCUCUGCUACCGCUUAUGGAUAGCCUCGCGGCGCAUUAGCUAGUUGGUAGGGUAAAGGCCUACCAAGGCCAUGAUGCGUAGCCGACUUGAGAGGGUGAUCGGCCACACUGGAACUGAGACACGGUCCAGACUCGUACGGGAGGCAGCAGUAGGGAAUCUUCCACAAUGGGUGCAAGCCUGAUGGAGCAAUGCCGCGUGAGUGAAGAAGGACUUCGGUUCGUAAAGCUCUGUUGUCGGGGAAGAACACGGAUAGGAGUCACUGCCUAUCCCUUGACGGUACCCAACCAGAAAGUCACGGCUAACUACGUGCCAGCAGCCGCGGUAAUACGUAGGUGACAAGCGUUGUCCGGAUUUAUUGGGCGUAAAGCGAGCGCAGGCGGUCCGGUAAGUCUGAUGUGAAAGCCCACGGCUCAACCGUGGAACGGCAUUGGAAACUGGCGGACUUGAAUGUAGCAGAGGAAAGUGGAAUUCCAUGUGUAGCGGUGGAAUGCGUAGAUAUAUGGAGGAACACCAGUGGCGAAAGCGACUUUCUGGGCUAUGAUUGACGCUGAGGCUCGAAAGCGUGGGGAGCGAACAGGAUUCGAUAC